rnacentral:rRNA from 1 species
GCUAGUUGAGAUAGCACGUUAAAUGUCCCGCUUUCCGAUGGAUCACUGAAGUUAAGCAACAUUGCUCCUGGUUGGUAUCUGGAUGGGUGACCAUCAGGGCAAUCGCGUGCUGCUGACU